GAAGUGCACUCAAAAAGCCCACCUCAGGAGAUACCCUACGCACCUCUACGACCGAGGUGAGAAUAUAAAGGAGUUUAUCGUGCCCCUCUAAUAGGCUGGUCCACGGAACCCCCCACCACUGCAGUAGCUAAUCUUUAAUCCACCAAUUAAUCAAAUCUCAAUGGCAUAGCAUGGCAAUUACGUUACUAACCAAUUUAUCAAGGCAAAACAGACAGUUCAUAUUUUUCAACACAGGUAUAAAUUCAGCCAAUCAUGCUAAUUUAUCACAAGCCAUUUAAUUCAAAUCAUAAUUUACAAUAAAUCACAUGGUCUCCAAUUACUCAAAUUUUCAAAGCCAUCAUUCAAUUUCAAGAUAAUUUUAUGAAAUCAUUUUAUUAAAUCACAUUUUGUUUAUAAAACAUAAAGAUUUAUCAUUUAAACUCAUUUUUCAUAAAAUCAAAAAAUCGGAUAAAAAUCACUUUAGAUAAUUCAGACGAUAAUAGGUUUACUCACAGUUCUAGGAGUAGAAAUACUCUUAUUUUCAGUCCGCGGGUACAGUCCUUUACCCGUAUGCAAUGGCUCACCACCUAGCCAUAAUCCAUGACACAUAUUCCAAUUAAAUUGUGUCUAACAAUCAUAAGCUAUUUCAGGCUCGAUAUAUAUAUGCAUGAUAUGAAAUGAAAAAUGCACGGGUAGCCAUCUAGACCCGGUAUUGGCCUAAGUCGAUUUUUCAUCCGAUAAAUUGGCCAAUGCGUCCAAUGUCACUCCAACUUGCUCCAUUUCUUUUCCAAUCCCUCAAUUCACCAAGCACAACUAAUUAACACACAAUUAGACAAAUUUAUCUUCACUUUUCUUCUUCGAACUUUCGGCCAACAAUGGUAGACUAACUCCGUGAUUUUUCCUACUUAAUUUUCUCUCCAUAAUUCAUUAAUUUCUACACCAAAAACUAUUAUUUCUUAAUCAAAUCACCUAGAAUAACAUCCCAUUCUUCCCCAUUAUUCACUUAGAGAAUUCGACUAUUGAUGGGUUCCAAACCUUUGGUGGUUUUCUUCACUUGUUUUCAUGCUACACAUCAUUAAUCACCUAAAAACACUAACAUACCUAAAAAUCAAACCAAUCCAAGAUCAUUCUCUCUCCAUACCCAUUUUGACCAGCCAUGAAUUCAUCAUGAAAGCAUGUAAUUUAACCAUGGAAAUUAAGGGAAAAUGCAUGGGUAAGGUAAAUCACUAGCAAAAUCAAAGAAAUUUUACCUUUGCUUGAUCAAAUCCUUGAAUUCCAACACUUUCUCUUUGAUUUUUCCCACUUAGGGUUUGUUCUUCCUUGGUUUCUCUUCUCUUCUGGUUU
rnacentral:lncRNA from 1 species